UGGUAAUUCCAAGGUUCUUAAUUAUUAACAAAUCGUUUAAUUAAAAAUUUUAUUAGAAAUACAACUAAUUUUAGUAGUCUUAACGAAAAUUAUUUAGAACGAUAGAUUAUAAGUACUGUAGAGGAAAUUUUGAAAAAUUUGAAACAUUUUAUAUAUAAAUAGUACUAUUAAAAUUAGGUAACUUUUGUAUCAGCGAUUAUUAAAUUAAAGAUUUAUUUUCUUUCUCGAAAAUAAAAGAUCUAUAAAUUUAGAUUGGUUCUUGUGUCAAUAAGAUCAAAUAAAUUUUUAUAGGAGUGAAACAUUAAACGAUUUUAUUAAUAUCUAGUAACUUUAGAAAUAAAUUUAGUUUAGGACUAUGGGGGUAAGUUUAUUAUAAAUUUUAUCUUAAUUACUUCUUAAAUUUUAAGGGAUGAGCUUUAAAAUUAUUUUAUAAAAAUUAAUUUUUUUAAUUUUUAUCUAGGCUUAAAAUUGGCCAUAAAAAAUUGUUAUAAAUUAUUAUAGAAAUGAAAUGAUUUAUUAUUUUUUAAGUAUUUAUAAAGUUAUUUAAAAAAUCUUUUUAUUAAGGAAAAUAUGAUAAUAUAAGUAGAAUUUGUUUUUAAAGAUUAAUUUUUAAAUUUUUCUAUUAAAAAUCUUUAAAUUUUUGUGGUAAAAGAAUUCGGCAAAAAUGAUUUCCGAAUGUUUAACAAAAAAAUUUUCUCUCAGAACAGGAGGUAAAGCCUGCUCACUGAAUAAUUAAAGAGCCGCAGUAUUUUGACUGUGCUAAGGUAGCAUAAUCAUUAGUCUUUUAAUUGGAGACUGGUAUGAAUGGUUUAACGAGAAAUCCCCUUUUUUUAUUGUAUAAUUUGAAUUUAUUUUUUUAGUGAAAAAACUAAAAUUUACCUGAAAGACGAGAAGACCCUGUAGAGUUUAAAAUGUAAUUUCUUUGUUUUAUACUAGAUUUUCUAUAGAACAAUUUAUGUACAUUAUUUGUUGGGGCGACAUUAAGAUAAGAAAAACUCUUUUUUUUAAAAACUUUUAUGAAAGCAUUGUUUGAUCCUUUAAAAAAGAUAAUAAGAUAAAAUUACCUCAGGGAUAACAGCGUAAUCUUUUUUGAGAGUUCCUAUCGACAAAAAGGUUUGCGACCUCGAUGUUGGACUAAAAUUUAGACGUAGUGCAGUAGCUACGUUUUAGGGUCUGUUCGACCCAUAAUAUUUUACAUGAUCUGAGUUCAGACCGGCGUAAGCCAGGUUGGUUUCUAUCUUCUGGUUUUUUAAAAUCAAUUUAGUACGAAAGGAUUGAUUGAUUAUAAUUUUUAUAUUUUUUGAUUAACAUUAAUUUCUAUUAUAUAAAUUUGGCAGAAAAUUGUAUUAGAUUUAGAAUCUAAAUAU
rnacentral:rRNA from 1 species